rnacentral:misc_RNA from 1 species
GAUGAAGAACGUAGCGAAAUGCGAUAAGUAGUGUGAAUUGCAGAAUUCAGUGAAUCAUCGAAUCUUUGAACGCACAUUGCGCCCCUUGGUAUUCCAUGGGGCAUGCCUGUUCGAGCGUCAUUUGUACCUUCAAGCUUUGCUUGGUGUUGGGUGUUUGUCCUGAGGGACUCGCCUUAAAGUAAUUGGCAGCCGGCCUACUGGUUUCGGAGCGCAGCACAAGUCGCACUCUCUAUCAGCAAAGGUCUAGCAUCCAUUAAGCCUUUUUUUCAACUUUUGACCUCGGAUCAGGUAGGGAUACCCGCUGAACUUAAGCAUAUCAAUAAGCGGAGGA